UGCGCAGGCGGGAAAGUAAGUUAGAGGUGAAAUCUCACAGCUCAACUGUGAAACUGCCUUUGAUACUGCUUUUCUUGAGUUAGGGAGAGGUUGAUGGAAUUCCAGGUGUAGCGGUGAAAUGCGUAGAUAUCUGGAAGAACACCGGUGGCGAAGGCGGUCAACUGGCCCUAAACUGACGCUCAGGCACGAAAGCGUGGGAUCAAACA
rnacentral:rRNA from 1 species